GGUAGGAUGAGCGGAACGGUAUCGCACCUCGUCGGAGGCGAGGAUCACGUCGCAAGACCUGUGCAGGUUCAAGUCCUGCUCCUACCGCCA
rnacentral:tRNA from 1 species